rnacentral:rRNA from 1 species
CCUACUGGAGACAUCAUUGAGGUAUCUUGGUCAAUGGACGAGAGUCUGAACCAUCACAGUCGCUUGCAGUCUUCCUUCUCUCUUUUUUUUCCCCUUCUUUUCUCUUUUACUUAAAUGUUCCACGUGUGGGAUUUUGUAUGUACCAUAUGAAUAAGGAUCGGCUAACUCCGUGCCAGCAGCCGCGGUAAUACGGAGGAUCCGAGCGUUAUCCGGAUUUAUUGGGUUUAAAGGGAGCGUAGGUGGAUUGUUAAGUCAGUUGUGAAAGUUUGCGGCUCAACCGUAAAAUUGCAGUUGAAACUGGCAGUCUUGAGUACAGUAGAGGUGGGCGGAAUUCGUGGUGUAGCGGUGAAAUGCUUAGAUAUCACGAAGAACUCCGAUUGCGAAGGCAGCUCACUGGACUGCAACUGACACUGAGGCUCGAAAGUGUGGGUAUCAAACAGGAUUAGAUACCCUGGUAGUC